AUCCAUGGUUAGAUUAAUGUUUCCUUUUCUUUUACAGGAAACAUGUUUAUCUUUACAGCUGUGAUUCAUUGGUGCCUCAUGCUGCACAACGCAACGCCAAAUAUGGCCAAAUACCAGCAGAGCACGGGCAGAGGAGAUAACUGAAGGAGCAAGAACUCUUAAAACCCGGAGCCAAGGACUUCUGGCAGGGUUUCUGAUGCCUUUGAGUCGAUAAUGGUGCCAAGCUGACCUCUGUCAGUGGAACACAUGAACGUGGAUUUGAAGGGAUUACAAAUGGCAGAAUGAGAUGAACCGGUGAUGUCCGGGUGAAUCCGUCAGCGCUGGAGCUGCCGAACG